rnacentral:rRNA from 1 species
GACGUAGGGCGCGAGCGUUGUCCGGAUUUAUUGGGCGUAAAGAGCUCGUAGGCGGCUUGUCGCGUCGUCCGUGAAAACCUGCAGCUCAACUGCAGGCUUGCGGUCGAUACGGGCAGGCUGGAGUUCGGUAGGGGAGACUGGAAUUCCUGGUGUAGCGGUGAAGUGCGCAGAUAUCAGGAGGAACACCGGUGGCGAAGGCGGGUCUCUGGGCCGAUACUGACGCUGAGGAGCGAAAGCGUGGGGAGCGAACAGG